AUGAUGGAUAGGCCAAGUACUUCUACCGACCCACUCUUCUUGGAGCAAGACGACGACAUGUCAUCCUACGUCACCAAGACUCAACUAUUUGGUGCACACCGAGCUUUGCAUCAAGAACAACUUGCUUUGGGCGACCGCAUCGACAACCUCGCCACCGACCUACGACAAUCCGAGCAACGUACAAGAGACUACUUCGACAAAUCCAUGAGUUCCCUCAAAGAAGAUAUCCUAACCAUGAUGGUCCGCUCUUCUACAACUUCAUCCUCGUCAAGACGGAGCCGCUCAAGUCGACACUCCGACGACACCCUCUCCGGUUCAAGUACACCGACAUCGAACACUCUUCGUCGUGCCGCGCGUCAAGACCAUCAAGUUAACCGCAAUCCUCUACACGACACCGACUCUCAAGAGCAUCGACAUCAUCACAACCAAGCUGCUUUCGCACAAGCACAAGAACGGCAACGCCAACGACAACAAGAACAAGAGGAGCGAGCGCGACAACAUCAAGAUGCACAAGACGCCGAGGCGCAACGUCAAGAACGACAACUACGUGAAGCUCAAGCACUUGAGGCGCAACGUGCCCUUCAAGACUCAAGUCGUGCCGUAGCCAAUCGAGGCCGACAAGCUCGACUACAUCAAGAAGCACUUCGCGACGAAGCUCAAGAAAGGAUUUACGAAGCACGUGUGCAUCGACAAGCUCCUCGACAUGAUCGACAAGUUCCUCGCCAAGAUAGACAAGUUUCUCCUCAUGCGAGACAAGAACGUCAAGUCCAUCGAGAACAAGAAGACAAUGGACCACCUCCUCGCCAAGAGCAUCAAUAG
rnacentral:rRNA from 1 species